rnacentral:rRNA from 1 species
UACGGGAGGCAGCAGGGGGGAAUAUUGCACAAUGGGCGCAAGCCUGAUGCAGCCAUGCCGCGUGUAUGAAAAAGGCCUUCGGGUUGUAAAGUACUUUCAGUCGUGAGGAAGGUGUUAAGGUUAAUAACCUUAGCAAUUGACGUUAGCGACAGAAGAAGCACCGGCUAACUCCGUGCCAGCAGCCGCGGUAAUACGGAGGGUGCGAGCGUUAAUCGGAAUUACUGGGCGUAAAGGGCACGCAGGCGGUUAAUUAAGUUGGAUGUGAAAUCCCCGGGCUUAACCUGGGAAUGGCAUUCAAGACUGGUUAGCUAGAGUCUUGUAGAGGGGGGUAGAAUUCCAUGUGUAGCGGUGAAAUGCGUAGAGAUGUGGAGGAAUACCGGUGGCGAAGGCGGCCCCUGGACAAAGACUGACGCUCAUGUGCGAAAGCGUGGGGAGCAAACAGGGAUUAGAUACC